AGACGAUUGAAAGCUUGCUUUUGAAAGUCGAGUGGCAAACGGGUGAGUAACGCGUAGACAACCUGCCUUUGAGAUGGGGACAACAGUUCGAAAGGACUGCUAAUACCGAAUGUUGUAUAUUUUCCACAUGGAAGAUAUAUUAAAGAUGGCCUCUAUAUAUAAGCUAUCGCUCAAAGAUGGGUCUGCGUCUGAUUAGCUAGUUGGUGGGGUAAUGGCCUACCAAGGCAACGAUCAGUAGCCGGUCUGAGAGGAUGAACGGCCACAUUGGGACUGAGACACGGCCCAGACUCCUACGGGAGGCAGCAGUGGGGAAUCUUCCACAAUGGACGAAAGUCUGAUGGAGCAACGCCGCGUGAGUGAAGAAGGGUUUCGGCUCGUAAAGCUCUGUUGUCGGGGACGAAUGUGAGAUACUUGAAUAAAGUGUCUUAAUGACGGUACCUGACGAGGAA
rnacentral:rRNA from 1 species